UUUCUGCCUCUCCCCAUCCUCCUCACUCACUUCCUACUACUUCCCAGUAUCAAAGAGCAUGUAAGAAAGGACAGCAUUUGGACGGGCAGGGCUCUUCAGCCCCUGCUUUGCUCUUUUCUAGGUACCUCUUCUUCUUCCUUGAAAGCCAUUGUCCCUUUAAUCAAUGUGACACAGCCCUUUGAAAACAGCCUCCUUGCUCUUGGAAGUUGGCAGGGGAAAAAAGGCAGGAAUUCAUUUGCAGGAGAGAAAGCAUCGUUAAAAAUGCCCUAUUUAGGGAAAGCUUCAGAGCCAAGACUAGGUGUAUGUUCUCAUUAUUUCACAUGUUGUCAGAGUAACCAGUACAGUGAAAAGACAGCCUUUUGAAGAAAACAAGUUUGUGGAAAGUGCUUAAUUAAGGUAGGAGGACAUUUUAUUGAAAUUAUUUAUAUUUGCUAUUAAUAUUUUUGACAUUUUAUGUUUAUGCAGCAAUAAAUAAAAUACAUGUGAGUUUAUUGCAUCCAAAACUUUACUUCUAAUUUCCUACAACUGUAUGCCAAAGCCCUUGUAAAUUCUAUGUCUUUUGCAAGAAGUUUUGGACUAUCUACUGUAUUCUUUAUGUUUCUGUGUAGUUGACUGAUUUUUUAACUAUAACUGGGAUCUCAUUUGCAAAAAUUGUUAACUUACAUAUAGUAUGUUAAAAGAUUUUCUAAUGUGUUUAUCGAUCAAAGGUAAGCUUAACUUUUUCUCUAUAUGAUACCUAACACCCAUAGGAUAAAACAUUUGAUUUUAUAGUGAUGAUUACUACCGUCAUUCAUUUUAUUUACUGUUCCUGUUUCUAAUUUUGAAAAUAUCAAGCCUGUAGAAAAGUUGCAAUAAGGGCCCUUCAAUUAGACUUAAUAGUUGUUAACAUUCAGUUGUCUGAGAGUUAAUUGCAGACAUCAUGACACUCACUGCCAAAUACUUCAACAUUUCUCUCCUUAAAGGAGAACAUUCUCCCACAAACCGCAAUAUAAUUAUCACUAAAAUAAUUAACAUGGAUACAAUGCAAUUAUCUAAACCCACUACAUAAUCAAAUUUCCAGAGUUGUCCCAAUGAAAUCCUUCUUCCAUGCCCCUUCUUUCAAAAUCCAAUAAAGAAUCAUACAUUGCAUUUAGUUUUCAAGUCUGUCUAUCCUCCUUUAAUCUAAAGUAGUUCCCAGCUUUUAAAAAAUUUCAUGAUAUUGAUAUUUUUACAGUCCAAACCAUUGUUUUACACACUAUCCCCUAAAAUGAGCAUUUUCUCAUAAUUAAAUUCAGGUGAAAUAUUUAUGGCAGGACUAAUACACACGAGAUGCUGUGUCCUCCACGGAACAGCCUGUCAGAAGUACAUGACGUCAGUGUACCCUUGUUUGAAGAAUUUAGUUUGAUUACUUGGUUAAGGCAUGUCUGCUGAAUUUCUUCAUUGUAAAGAUGCUCUUUUCUUUUUGUGAUUAACAAGUAAUCUAUGGGGCAAUACUUUGAGACUGUGCAAAUAUCUUGCUCUCCAGUGAUUCUAACCCUGAUGGUUUUGGCAUCCAUGAAUUCAUAUUGCUUGAAUCAAUCAUUACUAUAGUGUCAGCAAACGAUUUUCUAAUUUCAUCAUUUCUUCUAUAUUUAUUAGUUAUGUUUCUAUAAAAAAGAGCUUUUCAUUCAUUUUCUCUUCAGCACUUGAAAUUACUAUUUUGAGGUAUCAUUAAGAGCUAGUGGAUUCCUUCUUUGUUUAAUGUGUUGUAAUUUAUUUCACUUAUUAUUUGUUAUAAUGCACAAAUUGUCCCAAAUUUGGCAGUGGAAGCCCUGCUAAGCUCUGCUCUUCAUUUCAAUUGCCCUAUCCACUUAACUUCGUCAUUGGAAAUUGGUUUUCAAGCACUUUUAAAUAAACUUUAGUCUAUUUGUAGUGAUACUUCAACCCCUUAUCAAAUUUAUUUUUACCUGUGAAAAAUCAUAUGUUUCAGCUCCAACAUGUCAAGAACUUGGAAGUUUUCACUCCUGUCAUUAUAAGAUGAAAAUUAAACAUACUGAACACCAUUACCUUUCUCAGGCCCAGUAGAGGCCUGAGGUCACAUGUUGAAUUGCCACCUCCAAACCAGGCAAAUUCAGAGUUACUACCAAGAUCUGCUUACCUGGAGCAGAAGUUCUAGCAAUAAGUUUAUAGUAACACUUACACGGCAAACUUGAUGAAUUGUACGUGCUGAGUGUGGAUGAGCAUAUGGAUGAGAAACUCCUAAGGAAUACAGUGUUAGCCUCCCCCCCAACCCCCCCACCCCGCAACCCCCACCCGCCAACUUUCUUGGACUUUGCCUUCAGGAACUCCACCAGAUUCUUAUGGUACAGUCAAGAAAGAUCCCCUUGUUGCUUUGGCACAAGGGGGAAAAAGUGACUUACCCAAAGCAAUCACCAUACAAAGGUUCACCUUCCAGGGUAAAAGAUAUUACUAGAGCCUUAUCCCAACUGAGAGAAGAGCAUCUACUCCUCUCUAGCUCUUUCUAGCCACCUUGUUUCAUAUAAGUGGGGAGUAAAGCUAAGAAAUACUUGUUAAGGUCACGGCUGAGUGAUACAGACCCAUGUAAAGACUGAGAUUUAAUUAUAAAAUUAUAGAAUGCUCCUUCCCCCUCUGCCCCAACACCUUACCAACACACCAACACACCAACAGAACACAGUAUAACAAAGAAUUACAGCUGAAAGAGGCACAGGACACAGACUGUCUCUGAGGAGGAGUUCUUAGGGAAACAAAAAAAAAGAAAAGAAAAAAAAAAAACCACAGGGGCGAAAAGAGCAAUAGAGGAAUUUGAAACCUCUGGUAUGUACAAGUAUAGAAAACAUUAAACACAGCCCAACUCCUAGCCAGAUUAGCCUAAAACCUUAUACUAAAGGCCAAUUACAAAGCAUGCUAAAUGGCAAGAGAAAAACCCAUAUAACAAAGAGUCCUCUUUUUAUGAACAUAUUUUCCACCUUCAGUUGAAUUAAGAUGGAAUCGCACAGAAAAAUCCUUUGUUAUAUUUGUGCUCUAAAAUUUCAUACGCAACAUCUGAUUUAUGACUACAAAGAUCAAUACAAUGGCUCAUACAACAUGAGGAAAAUUUAAUUAAUAAUUCAGUACUGGAGCAAACAAGAAGUGCAAUUAAAGAAAUACCAUUAUAAAGACUUGUCAGUCGAACAAAAGCUGACUGUUUUCCUUAGGAAUGGAGAAACUAAAACGAAAUAUUUGCAUUGAAAAGACCUGCUGGUUUUAUGGUCACAUCUGCUAACCAGUCUGCAUCCUUGGCUCACAAAGAUCCCCAUGACUGCUAAAAAAAAAAAAAAGCGAUGCUUUCAAAAACAUUUCCCCUUCAUGUAACCUAGCAUAUUUCAGCAGUCUGUGUUCCCAAAACUUGUGGUUGAAAAAAUCUCAACUUCAUGCCUACAUUUCCUGAAAAGAAGAUCAGCCCAGGAGUGAAUCAGUAACACAUGAAGCUUGCUCUCCAGACACAAAUAGAAAUACAUAUCAGAAAAAACACUGGCAUAAAGAUGACAGAAACCUCAUCAUGUUGAGUUGAGAAGUCAAUCCUAUUACUAGUUAACAGAGAUUGAGCGUCCUUUGGCAUUAGAUGGUGCCAACACCAUUGCUAGGUGCUGUAGAGAACAUAGAAUUAGACAAAGUUCUUGCCCAAGGGGUUCAUAAUCAAAUCAGACAAACCAGACACUAACACAGUCCAGCAGUCUGGAGUGGAGAGAGUUGAGUUUACAUGGGGAACCUAAGGUCAUUCUGUACAUGAGAAUUCUAAGUUUCACUCCAACUCUCUUGUGUCAGAAAAGUCUGGGGAAAAACCUUUGACAUACUAUCAUAUGAUUUCCAUUUCAACAUCACCCAGGAAGCCUGUUUUGCAAAGGAGUACAGUUGAGUUUUCACUUGUCAUGUAACGGGAUUCAGAACACAUUAUUUGAAGCUAUUGGCCUAGUUUAUUAGAGAAGGAAGGAAAAACCCACAAGGCCAGAGUUACUAUGAGG
ensembl:lncRNA